UACGUAGGUGGCGAGCGUUGUCCGGAUUUACUGGGCGUAAAGGGAGCGUAGGCGGAUUUUUAAGUGAGAUGUGAAAUACUCGGGCUCAACUUGAGUGCUGCAUUUCAAACUGGAGGUCUAGAGUGCAGGAGAGGAGAAUGGAAUUCCUAGUGUAGCGGUGAAAUGCGUAGAGAUUGGGAAGAACACCAGUGGCGAAGGCGAUUCUCUGGACUGUAACUGACGCUGAGGCUCGAAAGCGUGGGGAGCAAACAGG
rnacentral:rRNA from 1 species